AUGUCUUGGGCCCAGUACCGUAGUCUGCAGGUGCAGCCCCUUGCAAACUGUCCUCUGCUUGCGGCGUUGCCUGGGGACCAAGGCGAAGAUGAGCAACGUCAGCUCCGCGAUGCAACGGCCAUGGAUCCAGUGGUUGGACAAGAAGAGACAAGUUUUGCCAUCCCCGACCUGCGAUUAGCUAGAGGCACACACAAUCGCCAUGACCUUGGGAUCAGGAGACAACGGGAGGUGGAUGAAGCUGAUGGGGCAGAAAUCGAAGAGGGAGUCGUCAUCAACACGCUUUGGGAGCAGGGUGAUGUACGCCUCAUUAAGCUUCUGGAAAGCACCGUAUUGAGGGAGUAG
rnacentral:rRNA from 1 species